rnacentral:tRNA from 1 species
GUCAUGGUAGGCUAAUCGAAAGUCACUACAAGGUAGGGAUAUUGGUUCGAAUCCAAUUCAUGACA